rnacentral:rRNA from 1 species
GAUGAACGCUGGCGGCGUGCCUAAUACAUGCAAGUCGAGCGAACAGACGAGGAGCUUGCUCCUCUGACGUUAGCGGCGGACGGGUGAGUAACACGUGGAUAACCUACCUAUAAGACUGGGAUAACUUCGGGAAACCGGAGCUAAUACCGGAUAAUAUAUUGAACCGCAUGGUUCAAUAGUGAAAGACGGUUUUGCUGUCACUUAUAGAUGGAUCCGCGCCGCAUUAGCUAGUUGGUAAGGUAACGGCUUACCAAGGCAACGAUGCGUAGCCGACAUGAGAGGGUGAUAGGCCACACUGGAACUGAGACACGGUCCAGACUCCUACGGGAGGCAGCAGUAGGGAAUCUUCCGCAAUGGGCGAAAGCCUGACGGAGCAACGCCGCGUGAGUGAUGAAGGUCUUCGGAUCGUAAAACUCUGUUAUUAGGGAAGAACAAAUGUGUAAGUAACUAUGCACGUCUUGACGGUACCUAAUCAGAAAGCCACGGCUAACUACGUG